CACUGUGGUUGACUUUUGGUGGAGGAACCGGACUGGAUGUUGGAAGUGAUGCCCGUCCCACCCUGACGGUGCUGCCCCCCUCCACUGAGCAGCUGCAGCAGGGGACGGCCACGCUCAUGUGCCUGGCCAACAAGGGCUUCCCCUCAGACUGGAGUCUGGCCUGGAAGGUGGACGGCAGCAGCAGCAGCAGCAGCAGCAGCAUCAGCUGGGAGCAGAGCAGCAGCCCCGGGGUGCUGGAGAAGGACGGCCACUACAGCUGGAGCAGCACCCUGAGGCUCUCUGCAGACCAGUGGAGGAAGGUGGGCUCUGUGACCUGUGAGGCCACCCAGGGCUCCCAGACUCCGCUCUCAGAGACUCUGAGGAGAGACCAGUGUCCCCAGUCCUGAUCUGACUCACUGGUUUUACUCUGCUACUGCUCUCAGUCUGCACUCUGUAACUCUUUCUCACAUGUUCUUGCUUGUGUUGAUGCUUUCAACAUUUUAAAACAAUAAAGAUUGGAUCAUGUGUAUUAUAAAAGUAUUGUGACUUCUUUUGUUUGACAUACAGAUUAUAUUCGGAACAUUCAUCAGAUUAACAAACAGAAAUGACUACAGUAACAAUUCAGAGUACUUUUUAGUGUUUUUAAGAGGUUUUUCUUGCAAUGUUGUUCUAUUUCAUGUUAAUUUUUUUGUCUAUUCAAGUAGUUCAUACCCUUGAAGAUGUGAUUUUUAAUGUGUUGUUAAAUAUUCUGAAGAUCUGAAAUAAAAAAUUGAAAUAAUAAUAGAAAUGAUUCACAACAUUAGAAAUAAGAAGAAGCGUAUCGUCAGCAUGAAGUGUUAUAUCAUUAAUUGAAUUUGGGAUUACAUGUGUUAUAUAUUUGGAGCAUGAAUCAGGUUAAAGUGCCAAACUGACAAUCAUAAGUAAUUUUUUUCUAGAUACAUUUUUAAUAGUUUUAAGACUGUAGACAUGGUGCAGCUAUUUCAAUUAAUAUAAAUCACAAAGCUAUCAAAUUUAACUAAUUUAUGCUCUUGAAGGUCCAUUUGUUAAGUUAAUAUGUCAGUAAAUUUGUAUUUUUACCCAAAAUAUUACAUCAUUUGUAAUCCUAUGUUCCUAAUAUCAAUGGUGCCCUGUUGAGAGGUAUCCAUACACACAUUUUUGGACAUCCUAAAAUCCCUACAGAUUGGUGCCCCGUGUGAGGCAUUGUACAGUAGGCAAUAGUUCUGCACUUUGUAACUCUCUCUUUGUUCUUGCUUGUGUUGACGUUUUUAAUAUUUUAAAGCAAUAAAGAUUUGAU